UACGUAGGGCGCAAGCGUUAUCCGGAAUUAUUGGGCGUAAAGAGCUCGUAGGCGGUUUGUCGCGUCUGCCGUGAAAGUCCGGGGCUCAACUCCGGAUCUGCGGUGGGUACGGGCAGACUAGAGUGCAGUAGGGGAGACUGGAAUUCCUGGUGUAGCGGUGAAAUGCGCAGAUAUCAGGAGGAACACCGAUGGCGAAGACAGGUCUCUGGGCUGUAACUGACGCUGAGGAGCGAAAGCAUGGGGAGCGAACAGG
rnacentral:rRNA from 1 species